UACGUAGGGUGCGAGCGUUAAUCGGAAUUACUGGGCGUAAAGCGUGCGCAGGCGGUUCGCCAAGUCAGGUGUGAAAUCCCCGGGCUUAACCUGGGAACUGCGCUUGAAACUAGCGGGCUUGAGUGCGGCAGAGGGGGGUGGAAUUCCACGUGUAGCAGUGAAAUGCGUAGAGAUGUGGAGGAACACCGAUGGCGAAGGCAGCCCCCUGGGUCGACACUGACGCUCAUGCACGAAAGCGUGGGGAGCAAACAGG
rnacentral:rRNA from 1 species